rnacentral:rRNA from 1 species
CCUACGGGAGGCAGCAGUGAGGAAUAUUGGUCAAUGGACGAGAGUCUGAACCAGCCAAGUAGCGUGAAGGAUGACUGCCCUAUGGGUUGUAAACUUCUUUUAUAUGGGAAUAAAAUGUUCCACGUGUGGGAUUUUGUAUGUACCCUAUGAAUAAGGAUCGGCUAACUCCGUGCCAGCAGCCGCGGUAAUACGGAGGAUCCGAGCGUUAUCCGGGUUUAUUGGGUUUAAAGGGAGCGUAGGUGGAUUGUUAAGGCAGUUGUGAAAGUUUGCGGCUCAACCGUAAAAUUGCAGUUGAAACUGGCAGUCUUGAGUACAGUAGAGGUGGGCGGAAUUCGUGGUGUAGCGGUGAAAUGCUUAGAUAUCACGAAGAACUCCGAUUGCGAAGGCAGUUCACUGGACUGCAACUGACACUGAGGCUCGAAAGUGUGGGUAUCAAACAGGAUUAGAUACCCCUGUAGUC